rnacentral:lncRNA from 1 species
GGGAUGGAGGCAGCAGCCGCUGCUACUGAGGCAGGGUUGUUUCAGUGUCUGGUUUGCGUCAUGCGACCAGCAGCGCACACUGAACUUGGGACAUGGAAUGUGGAUGUUCCACACUUGGGGAUGAGGAGUGCUUUCUGUAGCCACAGAGCGACACCUACAAGUACAAGAAGGAAUGCAACAGGCAGUGACAGUGCUACCCAUGGUGCUCUUCCAUGGCAAAGCUCAGGCAGAGCUGGACCUUGAGUGAACUUCUCUGCAAGGCCCUUGCAUUUUCCUCUUAUUUCUGCCAUGUGUGUGUGUGUGUGCGUGCGCAUGCCUGUGUGUGUGUGUGUGUGUGUGUGUGUGCGUGUGUGCGUGUGUGUGUGCACGCGUGCCUGUGCCUGUGUGUGUGUGUGCACGCAUGCCUGUGCCUGUGUGUGUGUGCACGCGUGCCUGUGCGUGCGUGUGUGUGUGUGUGUGUGUGUACCACAACACUCCCAACUCUAUGGAGGUGAAAGAACAACUUUUGGGAGUUGGUUAUGUCCUUCCACUCUGGGUUCCUCAGGUCUGUAGAUCGAGCAGGCUCUUCCCAAAGUCCUGGAGUGAGUGAGGAAGCAGGACAUUGCUCUGAGGGUUCUUACCCAUCUGCUCAGAACAGAAAGCAGUUCUUUGUCAGAGGAGAUUAGAAGACUGACAUGAACACUUACCUUUCUUUACUUUCAGUUUUUUAGAUUUAUUUAUUUUAUGUAUGUGAGUACACUGUAGCUGUCUUCAGACACACCAGAAGAGGGCAUCUGAUCCCAUUUCAGAUGGUUGUGAGCCACCAUGUGGAUGCUGGGAAUUGAAUUACUACUCUUCUGGAGCAGUGCUCUUAACCUCGGAGCCUUCUCU